CAUUAGGUGACUGAAAAGCAAGUAAUGGUCUCUUAAACCAAAAUAUAGUAAAUUAGCUCUUACUUCUAAUGA
rnacentral:tRNA from 1 species